UCGGAUGUGGUGCACGGUGCACGCCCAUCUAUAAUAGUUGAGAAGAUUUCAAUUUGUUGUGGGAGCUCUGGGUUCGACUCCCAGCGUCCGAA